AUGAAGAUGGUGCGCUCGAAGCUCGUUGAAGACGAUGGCGACGUGCUGAAGGUGCUCCGCCCACGAGGCGCUGUAGAUAAGAAUGACAUCAAAGAAAACAAGCACAAACUGACGCAAGUAGGGGCGGAGGACGUCGUUCAUGAAGGCCUGGAAGGUCGCCGGGGCGUUGGAGAGGCCAAAAAGCAUCACCAAGAACUCGAAGUGGCCGUGAUGAGUCCGAAACGCCGUUUUUGCGACAUUGUUUGGGUGCAUCCGCACCUGGUGGUAGCCCGAACGGAGGUCGAGCUUGGUGAAGAAGCGCGCCCCAUGUAG
rnacentral:rRNA from 1 species